UGCUGCAUAUUCCAAAUAGCGGAGGAAAAGAAACCAACAGGGAUUGCCUCAGUAGCGGCGAGUGAAGCGGCAAGAGCUCAGAUUUGAAAUCUCACCUAGUGUGCGAGUUGUAAAUUGCAGGUUGGAGUCUCGGGUUAGACGUGUGUGCAAGUCCCUUGGAACAGGGUGCCACUGAGGGUGAGAGCCCCGUAGCGUGCAUGUCGACACCUGUGAGGCCCUUCUGACGAGUCGAGUUGUUUGGGAAUGCAGCUCUAAGUGGGUGGUAAAUUCCAUCUAAGGCUAAAUAUUGGCGAGAGACCGAUAGCGAACAAGUACUGUGAAGGAAAGAUGAAAAGCACUUUGAAAAGAGAGUGAAACAGCACGUGAAAUUGUUGAAAGGGAAGGGUAUUGGGCUCGACAUGGGAUUUACGCAUCGUUGCCUCUCGUGGGCGGCGCUCUGGGUUUUUCCUGGGCCAGCAUCGGUUUUCGUUGCAGGAUAAGGACAAUUGGAAUGUGGCUCCUCGGAGUGUUAUAGCCUUUUGUAGAUGCUGCGUAUGGGGACCGAGGGCUGCGGCGGACUCGUCGUCUCGGAGGGAAUCCACACGG
rnacentral:rRNA from 1 species